GACGAACGCUGGCGGCGUGCCUAAUACAUGCAAGUAGAACGCUGAAGGAGGAGCUUGCUUCUCUGGAUGAGUUGCGAACGGGUGAGUAACGCGUAGGUAACCUGCCUGGUAGCGGGGGAUAACUAUUGGAAACGAUAGCUAAUACCGCAUAAGAGUAGAUGUUGCAUGACAUUUGCUUAAAAGGUUCAAUUGCAUCACUACCAGAUGGACCUGCGUUGUAUUAGCUAGUUGGUGGGGUAACGGCUCACCAAGGCGACGAUACAUAGCCGACCUGAGAGGGGGAUCGGCCACGCUGGGACUGGGACACGGCCCAGACUCCUACGGGAGGCAGCAGUAGGGAAUCUUCGGCAAUGGACGGAAGUCUGACCGAGCAACGCCGCGUGAGUGAAGAAGGUGUUCGGAUCGUAAAGCUCUGUUGUAAGAGAAGAACGAGUGUGAGAGUGGCACGUUCACACUGUGACGGUAUCUUACCAGAAAGCGACGGCUAACUACGUG
rnacentral:rRNA from 1 species